UCCGAUACGGUGUAGUGGCUAACAUUAUCGCCUCUCAUGCCUGAGAACCUGAUGAUAAUUAUGUAUUGCGCGAUAGCCCGGGGUUCGAUUCCCCGUAUCGGAA